GAUGAACGCUGGCGGCGUGCCUAAUACAUGCAAGUCGAGCGAACAGACGAGGAGCUUGCUCCUCUGACGUUAGCGGCGGACGGGUGAGUAACACGUGGAUAACCUACCUAUAAGACUGGGAUAACUUCGGGAAACCGGAGCUAGUACCGGAUAAUAUAUUGAACCGCAUGGUUCAAUAGUGAAAGACGGUUUUGCUGUCACUUAUAGAUGGAUCCGCGCCGCAUUAGCUAGUUGGUAAGGUAACGGCUUACCAAGGCAACGAUGCGUAGCCGACCUGAGAGGGUGAUCGGCCACACUGGAACUGAGACACGGUCCAGACUCCUACGGGAGGCAGCAGUAGGGAAUCUUCCGCAAAGGGCGAAAGCUUGACGGAGCAACGCCGCGUGAGUGAUGAAGGUCUUCGGAUCGUAAAACUCUGUUAUUAGGGAAGAACAAAUGUGUAAGUAACUAUGCACGUCUUGACGGUACCUAAUCAGAAAGCCACGGCUAACUACGUG
rnacentral:rRNA from 1 species